GCAUGUUUCUAGUAAUCUUCAACCUAUACUUACAUCUUUUUAACAUACAUCUCUGCCAUUAAAUCUCUUUGUUUAAUUAUUGUUUAACACUCUUUACGCCUAAGAGAUGGUCUCAGAAGCAGCCCUGAUCAGUUUUUCUCCCUCUUACUCAUGAAGCCCCUUAAUGUAUUCCAAGGUAUCAACUACGAAGGAUUUUACGUACUUAUCGUUUGUUUAUUUUUCAUUCAGUCAGUAUAUUCCAUGGGCCAGAAAUAGUCUAUGUUAUGCAGAUACAGUGGUGAAAGGUACACACUGUCCCUGUCCUCAUGAAGGGGACAACCCAGUGCAGGUGGAAGGAGCACUGGGGAAAUGCAGCUGAGAGAAAGGACAGACAACCCUCCAGGAACCACACUGGACUUCAGAGAGGCUUGUUGGCUGCUGUUCACCUGGCAGGCUUCUAGAUACCUGAGUACCCUUGGGCUUGGUGCCUGCUCCUCUCUCUAUUGACAUCCUCCCUCUAGGAUGCCUCAGUGAGUUCACUGCUGACUAUUUGUAGCUAAGGACGUGAGGUUUAUACCUCCAUCCAUUCAAACUCCUCCUGGGUCCAGACUCAUAUAUUCAAAUGUGAGCUUAACUCUCUGUAUUGACCUCUUUAUGCAUUAUAAUGAUACAUUCCUCAUAUGGCCAUCAUGAAAAGCAAACAUGAAAGAAAAAGCACAGGAGUGCCUGGCACCAGUGUAGGUACUCAAUGAACAUUAGCUGUUGGUAUUAUCCUUGACAUCCCCAUGUGGGGUGAAGUUUUAUUACCUGACAUCUCCAUGUGAAUAUCUAACACCUACACCAUGUUAUCUAGGCUAUGAAACAAUUCUUGGUUCCAACCACCAUUCUGUUCUUGUCGAUGAAUUUCUCAAGGCUUCGGUGAUGGGAGUGUGUGUUUUUCCACACAAUGAACGUGAUUAGGAAUGGUUGGCCAGGUCCUACACAAUAAAUUGCUCCAGCAUUCCUAUGGGUGACCAUUGAGACAAGUUUCAGCCAACGAAUGUAGCAAAGAAUUGGAACCACUCUCAGCUGUUCAUGCGAGUACUCUCAAUCCAGAAUAUCUGCUUAAAUACAGACCAGAGGAGGAGUUUGGGGCUUGACACCUGACAUCUUAACACCAGUCCCUGUUUCUUGAGGAAGGAAGAGGUAAAAUAAAUCAGCGUUUACUGUGUCCUUCUCCAUCCCCUGAAGUCUUCAUGAAGACCCUCUCAGAGAUGCAGCACACACAGAAUCCCAGCUGGAUUACAGACUUGAACCUGAAGACCUUAUGCAGAAUGACUAUUUAUGAACCACUAACUUAGUUCUAAAGCAGACCUGUCUAAUCUUUGGCUGAACGGCGAACUUCAGAAGCUUCUUUGAAGAUAUUUUCCUGGUCCUUGUUAUUCCACAAUUGACAGUGAGGCAUUUGGGCGUAAAAUUUUGAAUCACUUGACCCAGUUAUGUUCAGGCUGCAGGUUCUUUCCCAACUUCUGGAUGCUGUGGCUCAGAUGUCAGUUCAGAUUUUGAAGACUUUGCGGUGAUAUUUGGAUGUAAUCUAUGGGAGUGUCACUCAGUCUGGGACCUUGUUGGUGUUCUAACCCAUAAUGCAGUUCUCCAAGGAUUGAUCUACUUCUUAGGGUCAGAGCAAAGCACAUGCAACUAUGGGAGUGGGGGCGGGUAUGAAAAACUUUAUGGUAUCCCUCUCUUGAGCCGCCUGGUCUCUGUCUCUCUGAGGCUCUCUGAUGUCUGAGCAGCUACCCUCCUGGUCCACUGGCAAGAAUGUUGGGGCUUUAAUCUCUUCAUUCUGCCGUGCAAUUAAGUGACUGGGUCUGCCUAUGAGGCCAAAUAACGGUAAGAUGGAGAAAAUGUAACAGAGAUUCCUCUAUAUUAUUUGGUCCUUUUUUUUUUUUUAUAUAUACUUAGGUCAGAGAGAAGGCACACUGCUUCUGGUGAUACUUCCAAACAGGUAUGGAGAAAAAGGCAAUAACAGGUCGAUAGCUGCAUACUAGGUGUUAUGGAUUAAACUCUGUCUUCCCAAAAUGUAUAUAUCAGCUUGACUAGGCCAUGCUUCCCAGUAUUGUGCGAUUAUCCACCAUUUUGUCAGCUGGUGUGAUUUUCCAAUGUAUUGUAAAUCCUACCUCUAUGAUGUUAAUGAGCGAAGAUUUGAAGCAGUUAUGUUAAGGAGGCAGGGUUGAAUCUACAAGAUUAAGUUGUGUUUUAAGUCAAUCUCUUUUGAGAUAUAAAAGAGAAAAGAGCAGAGAGACGGGGGACCUCAGUACCACCAAGAAAGAAGUGUCAGGAGCAGUGCAUCCUUUGGACCUAGGAUCCCUGUGCUGAGAACCUUCUUGUCCAGGGGAAGAUUGGUGACAAAGACCUUCCCCUAGGAGUGACAGAGAGAAAAAGUCUUCCCCUGGAAUUGGCACCUUGAAUUUGGACUUACAGAGCCUCCUGGACUGUGAGGGAAUACUUUUCUUUGUUAAAGUUAUCUGUUUGUGGUAUUUCUGUUACAGGAGCACUAGAUAUCUAAGACACUAGGUACCAGGAGAUGUACAUUUCCCAGCUCUUUCACUCCCAGGAACACUAUGACUAAGUAGCCAAUGCCAUAAAUCCAUCUGAGCAGACUAUUCUGAUUACUGCUUUGACUCUACUGUCUGUUAUGGUAACCACACCCACCUUGUCUUUGUUGAUUGAGUGCCACCACUUGGCUGCUGCCACCAUGGGGUCCAGUCAACUGCAUUGUAGUCAGGUGUCUUAAUUCAGUUAGGGCAGUUCUCACUGUGGACUCUUACUUACAUAAAAUAGCAACCACAGAAGUCUUCAACAAUGCUGGGGUUUGCUGCACAAAUUUGUACCUCACCGCUAUGGUAAAAAGAGAGCCCUCUGGGCACUCCGUGUGUGGGUCUGUGGGUCCAGCCUAAUAAAUCCAUUCUAACAUGCCAAUUUCCCUCAUCCUUUGGAUACCUUCUCCUACAUUAUACAAUGGCAGAUCUGCCAUUUCCACUUGAUUUAUUGUAGGCCACCACUUAAUCCAUGCUUCAGUAAACCAACCAAAUAAACUAUGAGAUCCUUUUCUAACCUCUCAAGCUGAAACACUGAGUGAAGAAUCUAUGCUUCCUGGGUCUAUAUCAAUAAACUCAGACUAAUCCAGCUUUAUGUUGCUUGCACCAUUAUCCCACACCCAUAAUAGCCAUUCCCACACAUAUUCACCAGGUUUCUGUAUGUAUGUAUUAGAAAAAUCAAGCAGUUCUUUUGGAGUUUAGCAUACCUUCUCCUGGGUCACACUUUAU